rnacentral:misc_RNA from 1 species
GUGAAUCAUCGAAUCUUUGAACGCAAAUUGCACUCUCUGGUAUUCCGGAGAGUAUGCCUUUUUGAGGUUCAGUUUAAAUAAAAAUCGGGUUGGUUGCGGCCUUUCGUGGUGCCGCCCCGGAUUUGGGUCUUCUUGCUUUGGGUUAGGUGCCCUAAAAUUUUCCAUGAUUUUUUCGACCUUAUUUAAUUGAUUUUCCGUACGUUUGCGAUAUCGAAUCCUAGUUUUGGUCAUCCUCAUGAUUCGC